AGAUCGAAUCGAAUGAUCUUGUGUGGUACUUCUUCUCUCGUAUGAAUCCACGAAGAAGAGGCCAAGGAGGACUACACGUUCUGGGUUUUGGAAAGUUACGAUAGGAAAAUCAAGGAUAAGGGAACACUGGAUCUGCUCUUUCCGAGAGAAAGUUCACCGGUUCGGGUGAGACUCUUCAUCUUGCUCCUCCUGUAACCUCUCUCUUCCGCCAUCACUCAUCACUGUGCUACACAGGUCUCGCCGAACUUUAUACUGUCCAAUCCUCCUCCCCCUCUCGGCCGUCACUCCUCACUUCCUCGCCUCACCGUCAGAUCUGCCGUCACAUCCGUUCGGUCAUUUAAUCCUUUUCCAAGUCUUAGAAACACCAAAGUCUUUGUCUUUGCUCUGUUCUUGGCUAAAGUUUGGUUUUUUCCCUGUUCUUGUUCACCUUUAUGCUCUAUGUUACAAUUUAAAGUCUUUACUUGCCUAUAGUUUAUGUAUUUACUCCGUUUCUUCUCUGUUUUGGUCAUGAAGAACACUUGACUAAAGUUUUUAUCUUGACUAAAGUACGGUGCUUUGAUUGUUACGACAGCAGAGAGGGAGCGUGGAAGUUGGAACCAUGAUGAAUGCAUUUUUGGGGGUUGAUACACUUAAGCGAUGAAGAGAGUUGUAGUCUGCUCUAAUAAAUUGAUUUUGUUUGAUACUCAAGAUAAUAUAUUGAUAUGGUAUCAGUUGAACUCGAGAAGCAAAGCUAUUGUGACCAAAGAUGAAUGAAUCCAUCUUAAAGGCUGCUAGGUAUUUGAUUCAGUAGGAAUGGUGUAGAGCUGUUGGUUCCUAUAUACACACACACGCUGAGAUUAUGUUAAGGAGAGGUGGCAAUGAAGAGUAUGCUUGGAAUAAGUUUACUGGCUUAUUAUUUAUCAGAUCUCUGUAUCAAACUACCGUUAUAAUCAUGUCAAAUAUAUAUUUGUUGGUUUUAGUCGA